rnacentral:rRNA from 1 species
AGCAGCCGCGGUAAUUCCAGCUCCAAUAGCGUAUAUUAAAGUUGUUGCAGUUAAAAAGCUCGUAGUUGAAUUUCGGGGUUAGCAAGUUGGUCGUGCCACUGGUAUGUACUGGCUUUGCUGAUUCCUCCUUCUUGUAGAACCGUAAUGCCAUUUAGUUGGUGUUGCGGGGAAACAGGACUGUUACUUUGAAAAAAUUAGAGUGUUUAAAGCAGGCUAACGCCUGAAUACAUUAGCAUGGAAUAAUGAAAUAGGACGAGCGAUCCUAUUUUGUUGGUUUCUAGGAUUGACGUAAUGAUUAAUAGGGAUAGUUGGGGGCAUUAGUAUUCAAUUGUCAGAGGUGAAAUUCUUGGAUUUAUUGAAGACUGACUACUGCGAAAGCAUUUGCCAAGGAUGUUUUCAUUAAUCAAGAACGAAAGUUAGGGGAUCGAAGACGAUCAGAUACCGUCGUAGUCUUAACCAUAAACUAUGCCCGACUAGGGAUCGGAUGAUGUUAAUUUUUUAAUGACUCA